UGGGGAAUAUUGCACAAUGGGGGAAACCCUGAUGCAGCGACGCCGCGUGAGUGAAGAAGUAUUUCGGUAUGUAAAGCUCUAUCAGCAGGGAAGAAAAUGACGGUACCUGAUUAAGAAGCCCCGGCUAACUACGUGCCAGCAGCCGCGGUAAUACGUAGGGGGCAAGCGUUAUCCGGAUUUACUGGGUGUAAAGGGAGCGUAGACGGUGAUGCAAGUCAGAAGUGAAAGCCCGGGGCUCAACUCCGGGACUGCUUUUGAAACUGUGUGACUGGAGUGCAGGAGAGGUAAGCGGAAUUCCUGGUGUAGCGGUGAAAUGCGUAGAUAUCAGGAGGAACACCAGUGGCGAAGGCGGCUUACUGGACUGUAACUGACGUUGAGGCUCGAAAGCGUGGGGAGCAAACA
rnacentral:rRNA from 1 species